UUAAUUCAAUUAUAUAUUUUUAUUCUUCAUACAUCUAAAUGUCCCAGCAGCCCCAGCCACAACACGCACUCUUUCAACUGAGUCUCAAACAGAUGUCCCAGCAGCUUCUACCACUACAAGCUCUCCCUCAACUGAGAUUCAAACAUCAGCUCCUAUAACUACUGCUACUUCAAGCUCUCCUUCAACUGAGUCUGAAACAUCAGCUCCUACACGUGAGUAUUCUUAUUCAUGGACAAUUGAGCAAAUGUGUGAAUAGGAAAAUUAAAAUU
rnacentral:lncRNA from 1 species